rnacentral:tRNA from 1 species
GGGCCGUUAGCUCAGUGGCAGAGCACUUCAUUUGCAAUGAAGGGGUCGCCGGUUCAAAUCCGGCACGGUCCA